AAUGGGGGAAACCCUGACGCAGCAACGCCACGUGAGUGAGGAAGGCCUUCGGGUUGUAAAGCUCUGUCCUAAGGGAAAAAUGGUAGUUGGUCUAAUAGGCCAAUUAAUUGAUGGUACCUUAGAAGAAAGCGCCGGCUAACUUCGUGCCAGCAGCCGCGGUAAUACGAAGGGUGCAAGCGUUGUUCGGAUUUAUUGGGCGUAAAGCGCGCGCAGGCGGAAAAGCAAGUCAGAUGCGAAAUCUCGGGGCUUAACCCCGAACGUGCGUCUGAAGCUACUUUUCUAGAGUAGCGAAGGGGGAAGGGGAAUUUCACAUGUAGGGGUAAAAUCCGUAGAGAUGUGAAGGAACACCAGAGGCGAAGGCGCCUUCCUGGUCGCUAACUGACGCUGAGGCGCGAAAGCGUGGGGAUCAAA
rnacentral:rRNA from 1 species